rnacentral:rRNA from 1 species
GAUGAACGCUGGCGGCGUGCCUAAUACAUGCAAGUCGAACGCACAGCGAAAGGUGCUUGCACCUUUCAAGUGAGUGGCGAACGGGUGAGUAACACGUGGACAACCUGCCUCAAGGCUGGGGAUAACAUUUGGAAACAGAUGCUAGUACCGAAUAAAACUUAGUGUCGCAUGACACAAAGUUAAAAGGCGCUUCGGCGUCACCUAGAGAUGGAUCCGCGGUGCAUUAGUUAGUUGGUGGGGUAAAGGCCUACCAAGACAAUGAUGCAUAGCCGAGUUGCGAGACUGAUCGGCCACAUUGGGACUGAGACACGGCCCAAACUCCUACGGGAGGCUGCAGUAGGGAAUCUUCCACAAUGGGCGAAAGCCUGAUGGAGCAACGCCGCGUGUGUGAUGAAGGCUUUCGGGUCGUAAAGCACUGUUGUAUGGGAAGAACAGCUAGAAUAGGAAAUGAUUUUAGUUUGACGGUACCAUACCAGAAAGGGACGGCUAAAUACGUGCCAGCCGCCGCCGUAA